rnacentral:rRNA from 1 species
CGUAGGGGGCAAGCGUUGUCCGGAAUCAUUGGGCGUAAAGCGCGUGUAGGCGGUUCUAUAAGUCUGCUGUGAAAGUCGGAGGCUCAACCUUCGAAAGCCGGUGGAUACUGUGGAACUAGAGUGCGGAAGAGGCAAGUGGAAUUCCUGGUGUAGCGGUGAAAUGCGCAGAUAUCAGGAGGAACACCAACGGCGAAGGCAGCUUGCUGGGACGUUACUGACGCUGAGACGCGAAAGCGUGAGGAGCAAACAGGAUUAGAUACCCUGGUAGUCCACGCCGUAAACGAUGGUCACUAGAUGUGGGGGGUAUCGACUCCCCCCGUGUCGUAGCUAACGCGUUAAGUGACCCGCCUGGGGAGUACGAGCGCAAGCUUA